AAAAAAGUAUAAUGAAUAACUAAAUACUAAACAAGAUAAAUAUAUAUAUUUUUUUAACGUUUUUUUUUGUGUUUAUUUACAUAUAAAGAAACAUGAAAGAAAAAUGAUUAGUGUUAAAGGUUAAUUUUUUUUUUUUUUUUUUUUUUUUUUUAUACAAUAAAUUGAAACUGUUACUAGUUCAGCAAGUUUUACAAUUUCCCAAGUCCGGCAAGUUUCACAAUUUCCCAAGCCUGUCAAGUUUUGCAAUUUCCUAAGUGUAGUAAGUUGCAUAAGUUUUUUUUUUUUAUUUUUUUUAUAAAAGAUAGGUGGAAUUAACCAAAUAAAUUUUUAUAUUUUUUAUUAUAAAAAAUAAAACAACAGUUGAUCAGUUUUCAAUUUUAAAUGAUGACUCACAAUAUUAUGUUUCGAUUGAAGGAACCUUUAUUUUACAAUGAGAGUUUUAUUAAUAGGUUUCUUUUCAAGUUUGGGUGUAGGCAGCAUAUAAAGAGCAAGGUUGUGUUUAAAAGAUAUUUUUUCUAUAGAUACGAUUAAAGUACCAAGAUUAGGUGACUCUAUUACAGAAGGAACCAUAGGUGAAUGGAAAAAAAAAAUUAGGUGAUUAUGUAUGGGCAGAUGAAACAAUAACAGUUAUUGACACUGAUAAAGUAAGUGUUGAUAUAAACUCUAAAUCGAGCGGUACGUUAAGUAAAUAUAUGCAGAAGAAGGAGAAGUUAUUUUUGUUGAUGCGCCAUUAUGUGAAAUUGAUACUUCGGCAGAACCACCUGUAGAAAGAAACGAAUCUACUGUUAAUGGUAGUACUACUGGUGCUAGUAUUAUCAAACCCGAAAACGAAGCAAUAUCAGAAGCAAGUGCAGAAAAAAAAGGAUCAAGUUACGAACAAAAAGAACAUGUAAAUAAUAAAGAAUAUAGAAAUGAGAUUAUAG
rnacentral:lncRNA from 1 species